rfam:Triticum aestivum genome assembly, contig: Triticum_aestivum_CS42_TGACv1_scaffold_472373_6AL
CAAAUACUUCCUCCGUCCGGAAAUGCUUGUCGGAGGAAUGAAUGUAUCUAGACAUAAUUUAGUUCUAAAUACAUUCACUUUUAUGCAUUUCUACGAUAAGUAUUUCCAGACGAAGGGAGUAGGAU